AGGGUGCUCGCCUCCACUGCCAACUGAUGAUACACUAAAGAAAGCCCGUUUUUUAUCCAGAUGUAAAAUGAAGCUGCACCCCUCCUAUACCUGCCGGAAACUACAUCUCUCUGCACACACCCUGGGGUAAUACGCACUGCACCCGGCGAGUUACCUGGAAUACGUUUACUAAAUCGACAGGAAGAAGGAAAGAUCAAUGCGAUUCAAGUGCUGACGGUUGUACUCGUGAAGGAAAAAAACAAAUGCAAGCCGGGAAGUCCCCAGUGGUGCCUGCACCUAGGAGGCGACUGCAACGGAUGGAUGCGGGGGUAGAUAAUCAGCAACCCCCCAAGACUGUGCCUGCUGCACAACUACAGAACACAGUGGAAGACACGCUGAAUUUUGAGUCAGAAGGUUGACUUUCUAGCUAUGGGGACUUGGCCAAACCUCCUCAGAGCUUCAGUUUUCUCAUCUGUAAAAUAGAGAUCUUAAUCCCUACCAAUCUCACAGGACUGCUGAGAGUAUCAGAUGAGGAUUACUGGGAAGAGAGGUCUGCAGCAUUCCUCAGUAACCUGUCUCAGUGCCUCUAAUAUCUGCAGCAAGAACAUUCUUCUUCGUGUUUCAUCUGAGCCCUCCCUACUUUUGUUUUAUCAUUCAUAGGUGAGAUAAGGCUCCAUUUAUGCUUAUAAUUUCAGUGAAAGCAGGAGGCUGCAGAAACCACUGCAGUAAGAACUUUAAAUAUUCUAGUGCAUCUUCUGUUUGUCUGAGAGUUGUCAGGUUCCUCUAGCAGUGCAGUCUGGAGCCAUAUGAGGGGAGAUUAAUGAGGGGACAUGGGGGGUCAAGAAGCAAAUAUUCAUUAAAGAGAUCAGGAAAUGGGUUUGUCCUCAUUAAGGCAUAAUCGCAGCAGACCAUAGAGCAUAGUGGAAAAUGAAGCUGUGGUUUAGCCAAGGAAAAUGCAAGGAACAAAUCUGAUAGACAUGGGAAACAGGAGCAGGAAACCGUAGCACUGUUAGGCUGAAGUUGUGUAACAGUCUUCUCCCCGUGGUCAUUUUGACUAAAUCAACUAAAACCAUGUCUAAUAUAUUUAGCACCUAUGAGGAACUCAUUUCUCCUCCCUCUCCUCUUCUUCUUGUGUGCAUGUGACUGGCUUACUGGACAACCUUUAUUUCAAAAGCAGUGUUGUGAGAAACCAGAAUAUGGCUCUUGCUCAAGAGCCUCUCCUCAAUCCUGAGUUGUAGCCCAAGACAUCACAAAUCACUGAGCUGGGGUGUGGGAGGUCCUCAAGCUCUUGUCCUAAAGCUGGUAGAGGGCAGAGCUCAGAUAUGAACACAGGCAGUUGAGCUCCAGAGCCCGUGCCCUUAAUCACUUCAUUGCUCCUCAGUUGAUGUGUGAUCGUGAUAUCCCUAAUCCCCUGACAAAAGAGAAGUACCCUUGGAGAUCUAGCCAGUGGUUUACAACCAUUUUAAAAUUUCAAGCAGCAGAACUAGAUUUAUUACAAUUAAAACCUGACAUGGAACCUCAAUGUAUGAAACAGACAAAAGCAGAUGUAUGGUACUGAGGCUGCAGGGGGCCCAGGGUUUCCAAAGCCCUGCUUGCUUAACUCUGCCAAUCCCUAGGGUUCUGCAGAACACACAGUGAGAACUACAUCACUCUGUUAGCAACCAAGUAAACUGAAAAUUGACAUGUAAUAGUAAAGUGACAUGUUUUUUCUUUUUAUCUCUUUGCAUUUCUUUCAACCAGAUAAGAGAAAUGAGACUCAGGACAAGUAGACAGAGCAAAGGCAAAGGGACAGAGCAAAGGGAAAGAGCCAGUGCACAGGGCGUUAUCAGAGAGCAGAGCUGAGCAAGGCACUGCAGUGGGGCGUCAUGGUCAAGGUGAGCCAUAUGAGAUCACCCACAAGUACAGGAAAAAGGGACGGGCCAUUUGUGCCUAACACCAGCCCCAAGAACUUUUGAAGGAAAGGUAAAGACAGGAAACUGUGAACUGGGCCAACAUGUGAACAGCUUUCUGCCCUCUAGCAUCCCUUCUUUUUGUCUAUGCAACAAUCACAUGUACUUUGCACAAGCCCAGAAAUGGGAACCCGGUUUUCUGUCCUUUGCUUAUGUUUGUAACCUUUCCAAGCCUACCUCAGGAAGGAUGUCUAUUGAGCAGAUGGGUUUGUGAAAUUUCCAACAGGAGGAAGCCGUUUGCUACAACAACAGCUCGGAGGGUUCUUCUGCACUCCGCACUUCAGCAGUUGUGCCAGCUGGGUAAGGAAGAACACAAAGGGAACCAAAGCUGUGGGCUGGUGCAUUUGAGUCAGAGGCCUCUUUAAAUGUAAUUGAUGGAGAGAGAGAUUGAGAGAGGAUUAUAAUAGUCAGGCUGCCCAACUACUUAGGUAACCACACUUAGCGAGGAUUCCCCAGAUCCAGGAGCUGGAUUUUAAUUUGCCACGCUCAGAAAUUCCAUUUUACCAAAGCACAUGCCCUGAUUUGGGCCAUUAUCAGUUUCCUGGAUAUUGUCCAUUUUCCUUUAAGCCAGUCUUCAUCCUUUCUUGCCCUGCCCUGUGCUUCAGGAGACUGGCACUUGGCUUCCAGUUGGCUUUGGCCAAUUGGAGGCACUGUGAGGAGAUCAUAGUGUGGCAAAGAAAGGAGGGCAGGGUAGUUAUUCCCCUACUUUCCUGCCUUCCAGGUAGUUAUGGGUUAGCUAUGUCCCUUUACUGAAGGCCUGCCGCUGUGGGGCCGUUUUCUUCCAUCCAGCUGUCCUCUCUGGGUGUCAGUAACUGCCCCUUCCUCUGGUCCCUUCAGGCUCGGGUUGGUAAGAGUUUCCCCCACUCUUAGCCCAGAAUACUGCAUUAUCUCAUGUAAGUUUUGCACACUUAAUAAAUCAUAGCUUUUUAAAAUUCAUGUUAAAAUAUCCAAUUGCAUAUGCCAUCUCAGAACACUUCUGCUAUUCAGUCAACAUCUGUCAAACUGACAGUAUGGAAACGAAGAUCAGAAUAACUGCCCCCCAAGACUGUGAUUUUAUCCUAUAACUUUAUUAGUUUAGAUUAUUGCAAAUAUUUUUUGUUUGUUUGUUUUGUUUUUUAAUUUUUUUUUUUUUUUUGAGUCGGAGUCUCACUCUGUCGUCCAGGCUGGAGUGCAGUGGUGCAAUCUUAGCUCACUGCAACUUCCACCUCCUUGGUUCAAGCAAUUCUCCCACCUCAGCUUCUCAAGUAGCUGGGACUACAGGCACACACCACCAUGCUGGCUGAUUUCUGUAUUCUUAGUAGAGACGGGAUUUUAUCAUGUUGGCCAGGCUGGUCUCAAACUCCUGAGGUCAAGUGAUCUGCUCGCCUCGGCCUCCCAAAGGACUGGGAUUACACAUGUGAGCCACCACACCUGGCCACAAAGAGAACUUUCCAAAGCUCUUAAAUUUGACCUAUGUACUAUGCUGCCAAUUUGAACAAGCUCCCUGCAGAUGAACGGUAGUGCCUGGGUAAUAACCUUGUUAAAUAUGUAUAGGUGUUAGAUAAGCUUACUUUUUCACUCAAUUGUGUAAGAACGUAAAACUAAAACUGUAUAAAAACAGUAAAUUAUUAAAAGUGACUAAAUAUUAAUAGGCUAUAGUACAGUAAUUCAGUGCACAGGCUUUAAGAUGAGACAGAUAGGGAUUCACAUCCAUUAACCGUGGCCUUUGGAAAGCUACUUCACCUCUCCAGUCUUGGGUUUCUCAUCCAUAAAAUCAUCAUGAUAAUUGAGUGCCCACUUCUUAACAGGUGUUGUGAAGAUUAAAUGAGAUUCAUAAAGUAUGAGUACUGUGGGCAUUUGAAAAAUACUAGCUAUUGUUGUUGCUAUUAAUUUUAAUUUGCAAUUCUGUAAUGACAUGAUAUUGAGCAUCUUUUCACAUUCUUAUUUGUGCACUGUAUAUCUUCUUUGGUGAGGCAUCUGCUCAGAUCUUUUGUCCAUUUUGUAUUUGGGUUGUUCAUUUUCUUAUUGUUGCAUUUUAAAUGUUCUUUUUAUUUUUAUAUGGCAGUUCUUUAUCAGAUAUGUCAUUUAUAAAAAUUUGC